GGAUGUGAGGGCGUUCUGGCUGUGACAUCUGUCACCCUAUUGAUCGCCAGGGUUGAUUCGGCUGAUCUGGCUGGCUAGGCAGGUGUCCCCUUCCUCCCUCACCGCUCCAUGUGCGUCCCUCCCGAAGCUGUACGCUCAGUCAAAGAGGACAACCUUCCCCGAUAGGGGGGGAGAAAA
rnacentral:snRNA from 1 species